UAAGGAAUAUUGGACAAUGGAGGCAACUCUGAUCCAGCCAUGCCGCGUGAAGGAAUAAGGCCCUAUGGGUUGUAAACUUCUUUUAGACGGGACAAAACCCCUUUACGUGUAAAGGGUUGAUGGUACUGUCAGAAUAAGCAUCGGCUAACUUCGUGCCAGCAGCCGCGGUAAUACGAAGGAUGCAAGCGUUAUCCGGAAUUAUUGGGUUUAAAGGGUGCGUAGGCGGACUGAUAAGUCAGUGGUGAAAGCCUGCAGCUUAACUGCAGAAUUGCCGUUGAUACUGUCAGUCUUGAGUACAGUUGAGGUAGGCGGAAUGUGUCAUGUAGCGGUGAAAUGCUUAGAUAUGACACAGAACACCGAUUGCGAAGCAGCUUGCUAAGCUGUAACUGACGCUGAGCACGA
rnacentral:rRNA from 1 species